AAACAGGACCUGGAACAUCCAGGGAGCAUCUGGGCUGCAGAGACACAGACUCACUUUGUCACCCAGGCUGGAGUGCAGUGGUGCAGUUAUAGCUCACUAUAGCCUCGACCUCCUGGACUCAAGUGAUCCUCCCACCUCAGUCUCCCGAGUAGUCAGGACUACAGGAUCUCACUCUGUCACCAAGGCUGGAGUGCAGCAGCAGAAUUUCAGCUCACUGCAACCUCGACUUGCUGGGUUCAAGGGAUCUCCCAAGUAGCUGGGACUACAGCUGCACACCAUCAUGCCUGGCUAAUUUUUUGUAGGGAUGGGGUUUUACCAUGCUGCCCAGGCUGGUCUUGAACUUCUGAGUUCAAGUGAUCCUCCCUCCUGAGCCUCCUAAAGUGCUGGGAUUACAGGUUUAAAAAAUAUCCUGGACUUUGGAAAAUAUUCUUAUAUAAAGAAGCAAAAAGAGGAUGGAAUAGACUUGUGCUAACACUGAAACUCCAGUCAAGUUGUAAACUGAAAAAGAACGUGUUGAAACAAGGAAUUGCCCCAUAGCCUUCACAGGCUGAAGUGCAGUGGUGCAAUCUCGGCUCACUGCAACCUCCACCUCCCAGGUUCAAGCAAUUCUCCUGCCUCAGCCUCCCGAGUAGCUGGAAUUACAGGCACAUGUCACCAUGCUCGGCUAACUUUCUGGUAUUUUUAGUAGAGACGGGGUUUCACCAUGUUGGCCAGG
rnacentral:antisense_RNA from 1 species